AGGUCCCGCGGCCGGACGAAGACAGUGUGACUGAGUGUGGGAGAGGAAUGGCGCCGGCGGCUGAAGGAACAAGAACAGAAACCGCUGGAAAAGCUGAGCAGGUCCGGCAGCUCGUGUUGAGAGAAAUUGUGACCUAUUUGGAUAGGGCAAGGCUUACCAGGGUAGCCCACAGCACAACUGGUAUCAAACUGGCACACAACACCUUUACAGGGUAAGGAUAUCAAAACUGAGCACCGUGUUCAAGAUGUAGUCCCACCAGUGCUCUGUAACUGAGGCAUAAUCUCCUUACAUUUAUGUCAUUGGCCUUUCUAAUCACUUGCUGCGCUUGCAUUCUAACUUGUGACUUUGCAAGGCCCCUGGAUCCCUCUGCAUCUCAGAAUUAUGCGGUUGUUCUCCAAAUAGGUAAUAAAUUGCAUUUUACCAUAUUGUACACCACUUGCAAGAGUUUUGCUUAUUUAUUUAACCAAUCUAACAAUCUGCAUCCUUGAUAUGUCAUCCCCACAAUGUACUUCUCAAUCUAUUUUUGUGUUUCCUGCAAAUGUAACCACAUACCUUUGAUCCCCUCCUGUAAGUCAUCUAUAUAAUUGUAGAAAGUUGAGGAGCCAGCAGAGAUGCCUGUUGGAACCCCACCAUACUUU